rnacentral:lncRNA from 1 species
AUGGGCAACGAGGCGAGCCUGGAAGGGGAAGGACUCCCCGAAGGGUUGGCGGCGGCAGCAGCGGCAGCAGCCGGAGGAGGGGCUGGCGGGGCGGGGAGCCCCUUGCACACCGUGAUCCCGGCCGGCAUGGAAGCGGAUCUGAGCCAACUGAGCGAAGAGGAGAGGAGACAGAUCGCUGCUGUCAUGUCAAGGGCGCAGGGGCUGCCCAAAGGAAGCGUUACCCCGGCCGCUGCGGAGCCGCCUUCCAUGCACAGGAAACAAGAGUUGGAUAGUAGUCAACCUCCAAAGCAACCAGGAAAACCACCAGACCCUGGGCGUCCAAUUCAGCCUGGUCUCAGUAAGAGCAGAACUACAGACACUCUGAGGUCAGAGCAGAAAUUGCCUGGAAGAAGUCCUUCCACUAUUAGCUUGAAAGAAUCGAAAUCCAGAACUGAUUUUAAGGACGAGCACAAGUCUAGUAUGAUGCCUGGCUUCCUCUCAGAGGUUAACCCUUUAAGUGCUGUUUCCUCUGUUGUAAAUAAAUUCAAUCCUUUUGAUUUGAUAUCAGACCCUGAUGCCUCCCAGGAAGAAGCCUCCAAGAAACAAAAAAUAGCUCAGAAGGAACAAGGAAAACCUGAGGGAGUCACAAAGCCUCCAUCGCAACAGUCUCCCAAGACAGUUCCUAAGCAGCCAGGACCUGUGAGGGCUCCACUUCAGCAGGAAGGUUCUCCAAAAUCCGGAUCCUCUCAGCCACCAGAAAAAAGUAAAUCACAACCUCCAGAAACAGGAAAGCCAGCUCAGGGCUUCCCCCAGGCUCCUCAGACAGACCAGGCAAAAUUGCCAAUUCAGAGAGAUGUAUCUAGGCCUCAGACUAAACAGACAGACCCAGGAAGGAGUGAGUCGGCUAAACCCUCACUGCAGAGCCCCUCCAAGCCACCUAUUCAGCAAGGAAGUCCUGGAAAAUCUCCAGCCCAGCAGCCUGGACCUGAAAAACGUACCAUACCACAGCCUGGGCCUGCAAAGCCCCUAGCUCAACAACUGGGAACAGCAAAGCCCCUGGCCCAAGCUCCAGGGGCAGCAAAAUCCCUGGCUCACCAGCCCGGGCCACAGUCUCCAGCUCAGCCGCCUGGGCCAGCAAAGGCUCCAGCUCAGCAGGUUGGGACAACAAAGCCUCAGGCCCAGUUGUCUGGGCCAGGCAAGACUCCACCUCAACAGCCUGGCCCAACGAAACCCCCUCCUCAACAGCCUGGCCCAGUGAAGCCCCCUCCUCAACAGCCUGGUCCAGCGAAGCCCCCUCCUCAACAGCCUGGUCCAGCGAAACCCCCUCCUCAACAGCCGGGUCCAGCGAAACCCCCUCCUCAACAGCCUGGUCCAGCGAAGCCCCCUCCUCAACAGCCUGGUCCAGCGAAGCCCCCUCCUCAACAGCCUGGUCCAAUGAAGCCCCCUCCUCAACAGCCAGGCCCAAUGAAGCCCCUUCCUCAACCGCCAGGUUCAGCAAAACCCCCUCCUCAACAGCCAGGCCCAACGAAGCCCCCUCCUCAACAGCCUGGUCCAGCGAAGCCCCCUUCUCAACUGCCAGGCCCAACGAAGCACCCUCCUCAACAGCCAGGACCUGCAAAACCCUCAGCUCAGCAAUCUACAAAACCAGUAAGCCAAACAGGAGCUGGAAAACCUCUACAGCCACCAACGUUUCCAUCUGCAGCACAGACUCCAGUACACGGCCUGCCUAAAACCAUCUGCCCUCUUUGCAAUACCACUGAACUUCUGUUGCAUGUUCCAGAAAAGGCCAAUUUUAACACAUGCACUGAGUGUCAGACCACUGUUUGUAGCCUCUGUGGUUUUAAUCCCAAUCCUCAUUUAACUGAGAUGAAGGAGUGGCUCUGUUUAAACUGUCAGAUGCAGAGAGCUCUAGGAGGUAACCUGGCUCCAAUUCCAUCAUCACCCCAGCCCAAACCGAAGACUACCCCUGUUCCUGCAUCAGCAGUGAGCAAGCCACCCACUCCGUCACAGCAGGUUUCUCCAAAGAAAGAUGCUACACCCAAACAGGAUGUCUCAAAGGUAGCUGAGUCUAAAAAGCCCCCACCGCUAGUGAAACAACCAACCCUUCACAGUCCCCACCCAGUCACAUCCCAGCAGCCUCCUGAGGCAGAGUCCUCAUCCAAGCCAGUCCCUCCCAAAGAGCCUUCUGUCUCAUCUGAACCGGCCAAGGUCUCCAUGGCUGAUGAUAAACCAGAGCAGCCCAAGACAGGAAAGCCAGCCACAGACAUUGUGUCUUCAUCAUCAACAGCAACAAGACCGGAUAUUCCAGGCUCCAAAAUGCCAUCAAAGGAUCAAGAGAAAGGAACUCCUCCUCUAAAACCAGACUCUGCCAAACCUUCUCAGAGUUUUCCACCAACAGGAGAAAAAGUUACCCCGGUAGAUUCUAAAGUCAUACCUCGACCUGCAUCAGAUACAAAAAUUAUUUCACAUCCUGGACCUACUCCAGAGAGCAAAGAUCAGAAACAAGUUGAUCCAGUUCAGAAAAAGGAUGAACCCAAGAAAGCACAAACCAAAAUGAGUCCUAAGCCAGACACCAAGCUGAUGCCAAAAGGGUCACCCACACCCCAGGUUCCACGACCCCCCACUGGACAAACUGCCCCUCUAUCUCCACAGCCCCCAAAGCCUCAGGAGCAGUCGAGACGUUUUAGCCUAAAUCUGGGAAGUAUUACUGAUGCCCCUAAAUCACAGCCCACAACUCCUCAAGAAACAGUGACUGGGAAACUCUUUGGAUUUGGAGCAUCCAUCUUUAGCCAGGCAUCAAAUCUGAUCUCCACAGCAGGCCAGCCUGGGUCUCAUUCACAGGGUGGGCCAGCGGCCCCAAUAAAACAAGUCCCUCCUCCUUCCCAACCACCUACUUCUCAAGGGCCACCCAAAUCCACAGCACCGCCAGUACCUGCAAAGGUUCUGCCUGUGAAAAAGGAAACCAAAGCUCCAGUAAUUGAAAAACUAGAGCCCAAAGCUGAACAAGUUUCGACAGUAAAAAGAACAGAAACAGAAAAGAAGCCUCUGCCUACUAAAGACAGCAAACCAUCCACAGCUGAACCUCAAAAGGUUGUUCUUCCCCCCAAGCUGGAAGAAACCCCCAAACCAGAAUCAGCCUGUCCUCUCUGCAAAACUGAACUCAACAUAGGUUCUAAGGAUCCUGCUAACUUCAACACUUGCACUGAAUGUAAGAAACAAGUGUGUAAUCUCUGUGGAUUUAACCCUACACCGCACUUGACUGAGAUUCAAGAAUGGCUUUGUUUAAAUUGCCAAACCCAGAGAGCAAUAUCAGGACAGCUGGGAGACAUGGGCAAAAUGCCACCUACCCAGGCAGGACCAAAAGCCUCUCCUAUGCCUGUCCCUAUGGAACAACCAUUUCAGGAAACAGCAAUGCCUGCCCCAGUAAAAGUGAAAAAGAAGGAACAAGAAGAAAAACCAGAAGCAGAAAAAACCAUUUCAGAAAAGGUAAAAGAAACGCCUUCAGGUGAAAAAAGUACCCCUACGGAAACCAUAGAUCAAAUCCGAGAAGAGGGUAAAGACAAAACUUCAGCCCCUCAAGAAAAAAAGUCACCCCCUGAAGACAAAAAGCCACUCCCUGAAGAAGAAAAGCCACCUCUUGAAGAAAAAAAACCAAUCCUUAAAGACAAAAAGCCGGCUCUUGAAGACAAAAAGUUAGCCCCAGCAACAAAAGCAUCGGUUCUAGAGGAAGAACAGAAACGUGACUUACUUAAAACUCAAGUACAAAUUGCUGAAGUAAAAUCUGAAGACAGAGUGCCUCCGGAAGCAGUGGAAGAAAAGAAACAACCGCAGAUGGAGACAGAAGAUUUACCAGCCAGCACACCUCGGCGUUUGCCUAAAGAAGAUGAUGGGAUGACUCAAAAAAUAAAAGUACAGCCACAGGCACCGUGCAUGGCAAAGCCUGAUCAGACGGAAUCUGGAAAGGAAAAAACAGAAAAGGAAGAUGACAAAUCAGACACUUCAAGUUCUCAGCAGCCGAAAAGCCCACAAGGUCUUAGUGACACAGGAUAUUCUUCUGAUGGAAUAUCAAGUUCACUUGGUGAAAUUCCAAGUCUUAUUCCCAGUGAUGAAAAGGAUUUGCUCAAGGGACUCAAAAAGGACUCCUUUUCACAAGAAAGCAGCCCUUCCAGCCCCUCAGAUUUGGCUAAGUUAGAAAGUACAGUCCUAUCUAUUUUAGAAGCUCAGGCAAGUACACUUGUUGAAGAAAAGUCAGAAAAGAAAACACAGCCCCAUGAGGUUUCUCCUGAGCAGCCUAAGGACCAGCAGAAAACUCAGAGUUUAGUAGAAAAACUGGAAUCUACAGUUUCAGAGGAGGAGACCAAAGAGAGUCAAGAAGAAGGAGACACUUUUAAAAAAGAGAGCCAACAAGACAUUCUUUCCAGAAAGGACCAAGAAAAGCCUGAAUUUGAUGAGUUGGCUACAAGGAGACAGCCUCAUGAUUCAAUUGAAGACAGUAGUGAAAGCGAAAACUCACCUGUUCCGCCAAGAAAAGGGAGGACUAGUGUUGGAUCAUCAAGCAGUGAUGAGUAUAAACAGGAAGACAGCCAAGGAUCAGGUGAAGAGGAGGACUUCAUUCGAAAGCAAAUCAUAGAAAUGAGUGCUGAUGAAGAUGCUUCAGAUUCUGAAGACGAUGAGUUCAUCAGGAACCAGCUCAAAGAGAUUAGCAGUAGCAUAGAAAGCCAGAGGAAGGAAGAAACCAGGGGGAAGGGGAAAGGAACAGCAGGGAAACACAGGCGACUGACGCGAAAAAGUAGUGCAAGCUUUGAUGACGAUGCAGGAAGACGCCAUUCCUGGCAUGAUGAAGAUGAUGAGACCUUUGAUGAAAGUCCUGAGCUUAAAUACCGAGAAACUAAAAGUCAGGAGAGUGAAGAACUGGUAGUUGCCGGAGGAGGAGGACUCCGUCGAUUUAAAACAAUUGAACUCAACAGCACCAUAGCCGAUAAAUAUUCUGCAGAGUCGUCACAGAAAAAAACAGCUUUGUAUUUUGAUGAUGAGCCAGAAUUAGAAAUGGAAAGCCUGACAGACUCUCCAGAAGAUCGAUCAAGGGGGGAAGGAUCUUCUAGUCUUCAUGCCUCCAGCUUCACUCCUGGCACAUCCCCUACAUCCGUUUCUUCUCUUGAUGAAGACAGUGAUAGUAGUCCAAGUCACAAAAAGGGAGAGAGCAAACAACAACGCAAGGCUCGACAUAGAUCACAUGGCCCUCUUUUACCUACCAUUGAAGAUUCUUCAGAGGAGGAAGAAUUGAGAGAAGAAGAAGAGUUAUUGAAGGAGCAAGAAAAGCAACGGGAAUUAGAACAGCAACAAAGAAAGAGUUCUAGUAAGAAAUCAAAGAAAGACAAAGACGAACUUCGAGCUCAGAGAAGGAGGGAAAGACCAAAGACACCACCCAGUAAUCUCUCUCCCAUCGAAGACGCAUCUCCAACAGAAGAAUUACGUCAGGCUGCAGAAAUGGAGGAGCUCCAUCGAUCUUCGUGUUCUGAAUAUUCACCUAGCAUAGAGUCAGACCCAGAAGGCUUUGAAAUAAGCCCAGAAAAAAUAAUCGAAGUACAAAAAGUUUAUAAAUUGCCCACAGCUGUGUCUUUAUACUCACCGACAGAUGAGCAAUCUAUUAUGCAGAAAGAAGGUGGCCAAAAGGCAUUAAAAAGUGCUGAGGAGAUGUAUGAAGAAAUGAUGCAUAAAAGCCAGAAAUAUAAAGCUUUUCCAGCUGCAAAUGAACGAGACGAAAUGUUUGAAAAAGAGCCUUUGUAUGGUGGGAUGCUAAUAGAAGAUUAUAUUUAUGAAUCUUUAGUAGAAGACACAUACAAUGGUUCACUCGACAGCAGUCUGCUCGCAAGGCAAGAAGAGGAAAAUGGAUUUUUGCAGCAGACAAGGAGAGAGCAAAAAAUGAGACUUCCGGAACAGAUUUAUGAAGAUCCCAUGCAGAAAAUUACAGACCUCCAGAAAGAGUUUUAUGAGUUAGAAAAUUUACAUGCUGUUUUGCCUCAAGAAGACAUAGUUUCAAGUUCUUUUAUCAUCCCAGAAAGUCAUGAGAUUGUUGAUCUGGGUAGUAUGGUAACCUCUACCAGUGAAGAAAAAAAAUUAUUAGAUGCUGAUGCUGCCUAUGAAGAACUCAUGAAAAGACAACAGAUGCAGUUAACACCCGGAUCUAGUCCAACCCAGCCCCUCAUCAGGGACGAUCUGACAGAGUCCACUGUGGACUUUGAUAGGGUACCUGAUGCGUCUUUGACAUCAAGUGUUCUCUCAGGAGCAUCUCUUACAGAUUCAACCAGCAGCACAACACUCUCCAUCCCAGAUGUUAAAAUAACCCAGCAUUUUUCAGCAGAAGAAAUUGAGGAUGAAUAUGUGACUGAUUAUACAAGAGAAAUUCAAGAGAUAAUUGCUCAUGAAUCACUGAUUUUGACCUAUUCUGAACCUUCAGAAAGUGCUACAUCAGUCCCACCCUCUGACACACCGUCUCUCACAUCAUCUGUUUCUUCAGUUUGUACCACAGAUAGCUCCUCACCCAUUACUACCCUGGAUAGCAUGACCACAGUUUAUACUGAGCCAGUGGACAUUGUAGCUAAAUUUGAAGAUGCUGAGGAAAUUUCUUCAUCAACAUAUUUCCCAGGCAGCAUUAUAGACUAUCCAGAAGACAUAAAUAUACCUUUAGAUCAGACAACCAUACAGGAUGGUAGAACUAGUACAGAUCACGUUGUGAUUUCCUUAUCUGAUAUAGAACCUUCUCUCGUAGAAUCUGUAGGAACUAAACUCGAGGGGCUAAUUGCUGACACUGUUUCUACUGAUUUAUCUAUAUCUGAAAAAGAUGCAGCGAAGAAGGCCAGAAAGGAAACAGGGGAUGGACUUAUUCUGGAAGUUUUGGAAGCUUAUAGAGAUACUAGGAAGGAGUCUGAGGCUGAACUGACAGAAAUUAGCUUACCUGACACUGUGUUUGAUCAGACACCUUCUUCUGUAAAAACUCUUCCAAUGAAGGAGCAGGUUUCAACGACAUGCUUUUUACCUGAAGAGGUUUUGAGUCAAGCAAAACCUGCAUCUCAGCUACCAUCUGGCACUCCUCCCAUUUUCUCUCUUCCAACUAAAACUCGUCCAUUCCUUCGAAGUUCUUCUUUGGACAUAUCAGCCCAACCCCCUCCCCCUCCUCCUCCGCCUCCCCCACCUCCUCCGCCUCCCCCUCCUCCUCCUCCUCCACCUCUUCCUCCACCAACCUCACCUAAACCAACUAUUCACCCUAAAAAAAAAUUAGCGGUUACAGCUCCAGUGACUGCAACUACUGCAGCUACAUCUCUAGUAGAUUCUGUUACUACAGUGGAGACCACAUCUGCUCCCAGCAGUAAUGGGUUACCUAUGACAAAAGUAUAUACCGCUGCACCUCCUCCUGUUCCUCCUAAGCCAUCUUUAAUUCCAUCUGGACUUGUAUUUACACAUAGACCUGAGCCAAGCAAACCUCCACUUGCUCCUAAACCAGCAGUUCCUCAACCUCCAGUCACGACCCCAAAACUAACAGAUACAUACACCAAACCAACAGGUCUACCUUUAACUACAAGUAUGACAUUAAAUUUAGUGACAUCAGCAGACUAUAAAUUGCCUUCCCCUACCUCUCCACUUUCCCCUCACUCUAACAAGUCCUCGCCAAGAUUUUCCAAGUCUCUUAUGGAAACUUAUGUGGUUAUCACAUUGCCAUCUGAACCUGGCACUCCAACAGAUUCUUCACCUAGUCAGGCUAUUACCAGUUGGCCGUUGGGAUCACCCCCCAAAGAUCUGAUUUCCACUGAACCAGUAUUUUCUGUAGUUCCUCCUAUGACAGCUGAGGAAAUAUCAACUUCUUCACAACAGAGCCUGUACAUCUCCAGAGCUUUGGAGACAUUUGCUGCUAUCCCAGUCACAACACUGUCUUCAUUUCAAGCAACUUCAGCUUCAGUUACACAGUUUCACCCAGCUGAAGUUUCCAAGGCUGAAGUUCCAGCAGCAAGAAGUACAGUCCCUAGUGUUGGUCUCAGCAGUGUCUCUAUAUCCUUUCCUCCAGAGCCUCUUGCUCUAGAUCACCUCCGUUCAGAGAAGCAGCAGCAUAAAGAAGGUGUCCAGUUGCAGCUUGUUGGUGAUGCCAUUGAUCUGCGUACAGUACCCAAAGCAGAUGUUAAAGUAACUGAAAAAUGUAUGGAUCUUUCUGCCUCUGCAGUGGAUAUGAAGAGGCAGACCACAGCAAGUGAAAUGUAUGGGAGACAAAUUAGUGCUGUCCAACCCUCAAUUAUAAAUCUGAGCGCAACUUCAUCAGGAGUGACUCCUAUAUCCCUGGUUACAGAGACAGUGACUGUUGUUACAUGCACAGCUACUGCGAGUUACACCACAGGCACAGAAAGCCUAGUGGGUCUAGAACUUGCAACCGCAGCACCACUCCAGCUUACUACAUCAAAGCAUGUGGAGCCACUAUACAGAGUACCAAGUGGCCAGACCUUUCCUACAAUUAGGGAGGAAGCACCAAUAAACUUAUCUUUAAGUACUUCUGCACACCCAGUGACAUCAGCUCCUACGAAACCUGUUACUGCACCUCCUGUUGGUGUCACAAAUGGAUGGACUGAUAGCUCCACAUCUCAGAGCAUCACUGAUGGGGAAGUAGUGGAUCUCAGUACCUCCAAAACUCACAGAACUGUUGUAACAAUGGAUGAAGCUUCUUCAAAUGUGGUGACUAAAAUAAUAGAAGAUGAUGAAAAACCUGUUGAUCUGACUGCAGGAAGAAGAGCCGUGUGCUGUGAUGUGGUUUAUAAGUUACCCUUUGGAAGAAGCUGCACAGCACAGCAGCCUGCAACCACUCUUCCUGAAGAUCGUUUUGGUUAUAGGGAUGAUCACUAUCAAUAUGAUCGAUCAGGGCCAUAUGGUUAUAGAGGGAUUGGGGGAAUGAAACCUUCCAUGUCUGACACUAAUUUAGCAGAGGCUGGACAUUUUUUCUAUAAAAGUAAGAACGCUUUUGAUUAUUCUGGAGGAACUGAUACAGCAGUAGAUCUUACUUCAGGGAGAAUUACUACAGGUGAGGUAAUGGAUUAUUCAAGCAAGACUACAGGUCCAUAUCCAGAAACUCGACAAGUCAUUUCAGGAGUUGGGAUUAGUACCCCGCAGUAUUCCACAGCAAGAAUGACUCCACCUCCAGGACCCCAGUAUGGUGUGGGGAGUGUUUUGAGGUCGUCUAAUGGGGUUGUCUAUUCUUCAGUAGCAACUCCAGUUCCUUCCACGUUUGCUAUUACCACACAGCCUGGCUCCAUCUUCAGCACCACCAUGAGGGAUUUGUCUGGUGUGCACACAAAUGACGCUGUGACUUCCUUGUCCGCCCUGCACCAAAGCCAGCCCAUGCCUCGAUCCUAUUUCCUAACAACUGGUGCAUCUGAAACAGACAUUGAAGUCACUGGUAUUGAUAUCAGCGCCAGUUUGCAGACUAUCACUAUGGAGACUCUCACAGCUGAGACGAUAGACUCGGUUCCCACCCUGACCACAGCGUCUGAAGUAUUUUCUGAAGUGGUGGGAGAGGAAAGUGCGCUUUUAAUCAUCCCCGAGGAAGAUAAGCAACAACAGCAGCUAGACUUGGAGCGUGAGCUCUUGGAACUGGAAAAGAUCAAGCAACAGCGUUUUGCUGAGGAGCUAGAGUGGGAACGGCAGGAGAUUCAAAGGUUCCGAGAACAGGAAAAGAUCAUGGUUCAAAAGAAGCUGGAGGAGCUGCAGUCGAUGAAGCAGCACCUCCUCUAUCAGCAAGAAGAGGAGCGGCAAGCCCAGUUCAUGAUGAGGCAGGAGACGUUAGCACAGCAACAGCUGCAGCUGGAACAGAUCCAGCAGCUGCAGCAACAGCUUCACCAGCAGCUGGAGGAGCAGAAGAUUCGCCAGGUCUACCAGUAUAACUAUGACCCUUCUGGAACUGCCUCUCCACAGACCACUGCAGAGCAGGCCAUCCUGGAAGGUCAGUAUGUUGCCCCAGAAGGUGGUCAGUUCUGGGCAACCGAAGAUGCAACCACCACAGCCUCAGCUGUGGUGGCGAUUGAAAUACCACAGAGCCAGGGAUGGUACACGGUUCAGUCUGAUGGGGUGACUCAGUACAUUGCCCCACCUGGCAUUCUGAGUACUGUUUCAGAAAUACCUCUGACAGAUGUAAUUGUCAAAGAGGAGAAACAGCCCAAGAAGAGAAGUUCUGGAGCUAAAGUCCGUGGCCAGUACGACGAGAUGGGGGAAAAUCUGGCAGAUGACCCCCGCUGCUUUAAAAAGAUAGUGGACAGCGGGGUACAGACUGACGAUGAAGAUUCAGCAGAUCGGAGUUAUGUGAGUAGGCGAAGGAGAACUAAAAAGAGUGUCGAUACAAGUGUCCAAACGGAUGACGAAGAUCAGGAUGAAUGGGACGUGCCUGCUAGAUCUAGGAGGAAAGCUCGCGUAGGGAAAUAUGGUGACAGCCCUGCAGAGGCGGACAAGGCCAAACCCCCUUCCAAAGUCUCCAGCAUAGCCGUUCAAACAGUAGCAGAGAUAUCUGUGCAAACUGAACCAGUUGGAACCAUAAGAACGCCUUCGAUACGGGCACGCGUGGAUGCCAAGGUAGAAAUAAUUAAACACAUUUCAGCACCUGAAAAGACUUACAAAGGGGGCAGUUUAGGAUGUCAAACAGAAGCAGAUUCAGACACACAAAGUCCUCAAUAUCUGAGUGCCACCUCUCCACCCAAAGACAAGAAACGCCCAACACCUUUAGAAAUUGGUUAUUCAUCUCACCUCCGAGCAGAUUCCACACUACAGCUGGCUCCUUCCCCACCCAAAUCUCCAAAAGUCCUUUAUUCUCCCAUCUCACCACUUUCACCAGGCAAAGCCUUAGAAUCAGCCUUUGUACCUUAUGAGAAACCCCUCCCUGAUGAUAUAAGUCCACAAAAAGUACUGCAUCCAGAUAUGGCUAAAGUUCCCCCAGCAAGUCCUAAGACAGCCAAGAUGAUGCAGCGCUCCAUGUCUGACCCCAAGCCUCUGAGUCCAACAGCAGACGAAAGUUCCAGGGCUCCUUUUCAGUAUACCGAGGGCUACACGGCAAAAGGUUCUCAAACCACAGCAACCUCUGGCACUCAGAAAAAAGUGAAGAGAACUUUGCCAAACCCACCACCUGAAGAGACCUCCACAGGAACCCAGUCAGCCUUUAGCGCAAUGGGCACAGUCUCCAGGAGAAGGAUCUGCCGAACCAAUACGAUGGCCCGAGCCAAGAUUCUCCAGGAUAUAGACAGAGAGCUUGAUCUUGUGGAGAGGGAAUCUGCCAAGCUUAGGAAGAAACAAGCAGAACUUGAUGAGGAAGAAAAGGAGAUUGAUGCUAAGUUACGGUACCUAGAAAUGGGGAUUAACAGGAGGAAAGAGGCCUUAUUAAAGGAGAGAGAAAAGAGAGAGAGAGCCUAUCUCCAGGGAGUAGCUGAGGAUCGUGAUUACAUGUCCGACAGUGAGGUCAGCAGCGCCAGACCAACCCGAAUUGAAAGUCAGCACGGCAUCGAGCGACCAAGAACUGCUCCCCAAACUGAAUUCAACCAGUUUAUUCCACCACAAACCCAAACAGAAUCUCAGCUAGUCCCUCCUACGAGUCCUUAUACCCAGUACCAAUACUCUUCCCCUGCUCUUCCUACUCAAGCACCCACCCCAUACACCCAGCAAUCCCACUUCCAGCAACAGACUCUGUACCAUCAGGAAGUUUCACCUUAUCAGACUCAGCCAACCUUCCAAGCUGUGGCAACAAUGUCUUUCACACCUCAGGCUCAACCUACACCAACCCCACAACCUUCUUAUCAGUUACCAUCACAGAUGAUGGUGAUACAACAAAAGCCACGGCAAACUGCAUUAUAUAUGGAGCCCAAGAUAACUUCAAACUAUGAGGUGAUUCGCAACCAACCCCUGAUGAUAGCACCUGUUUCCACUGAUAAUACAUAUGCUGUUUCCCAUCUCGGUAGUAAGUACAACAGCUUAGAUUUGAGAAUAGGAUUGGAGGAAAGAAGUAGCAUGGCAAGCAGUCCAAUAUCAAGCAUAUCUGCAGAUUCUUUCUAUGCAGAUAUUGACCAUCAUACUUCACGAAAUUAUGUCUUAAUUGAUGACAUUGGUGAGAUUACCAAAGGAACAGCGGCUCUAAGCACUGCAUUUAGCCUUCAUGAAAAAGAUCUGUCAAAAACAGAUCGUCUUCUCCGAACCACUGAGACACGUAGGUCUCAAGAAGUGACAGAUUUCCUAGCACCUCUGCAGACUUCGUCCAGAUUGCAUAGUUACGUGAAAGCAGAGGAGGACCCAAUGGAGGAUCCUUAUGAGUUAAAGCUUCUGAAACAACAGAUUAAACAAGAAUUCCGUAGAGGAGCCGAGAGCUUAGAUCACCUUGCUGGUCUUUCCCAUUAUUACCACGCCGACACUAGUUACAGACAUUUUCCAAAAUCUGAGAAGUACAGCAUUAGUAGACUCACACUUGAAAAACAAGCAGCAAAACAACUACCAGCUGCUAUACUUUAUCAAAAGCAGUCAAAGCAUAAGAAAUCACUAAUUGACCCUAAAAUGUCAAAAUUCUCACCUAUUCAAGAAAGUAGAGACCUUGAACCUGAUUAUUCGAGCUAUAUGACUUCAAGCACUUCAUCUAUUGGUGGCAUUUCUUCCAGGGCAAGGCUUCUUCAAGAUGAUAUUACUUUUGGCCUCAGAAAAAAUAUUACAGACCAACAAAAAUUUAUGGGAUCAUCUCUGGGCACCUUAGGAAAUACCAUACGAUCAGCUCUGCAGGAUGAAGCAGAUAAGCCAUACAGCAGUGGCAGCAGGUCCAGACCUUCUUCCAGACCUUCCUCUGUCUACGGGCUAGAUUUAUCAAUUAAAAGAGAUUCUUCCAGCUCUUCUCUAAGACUGAAAGCUCAAGACGCUGAAGCUCUAGAUGUUUCCUUUGGUCAUGCAUCACCUUCUGGGAGAACUAAGCCUACUAGCUUGCCUAUUAGCCAAAGUAGAGGAAGAAUACCAAUUGUGGCCCAGAAUUCUGAAGAGGAAAGUCCACUCAGUCCUGUUGGACAGCCAAUGGGAAUGGCCAGGGCUGCUGCUGGACCCCUGCCACCGAUAUCUGCAGACACCAGGGACCAGUUUGGAUCGAGUCACUCUUUGCCUGAAGUUCAGCAACACAUGAGAGAAGAAUCACGGACUCGAGGCUAUGACCGUGACAUAGCAUUCAUCAUGGAUGACUUCCAGCAUGCCAUGUCAGACAGUGAAGCCUAUCACCUCCGUCGUGAAGAAACAGAUUGGUUUGACAAACCCAGGGAGUCUCGUUUGGAAAAUGGACAUGGUCUAGAUCGAAAACUGCCAGAAAGAUUGGUCCACUCUAGACCACUCAGUCAACACCAAGAGCAAAUUAUACAGAUGGAUGGGAAAACUGUUCACUACAUCUUUCCACAUGCAAGGAUAAAAAUAACAAGAGACUCUAAGGAUCACACGGUUUCAGGUAACGGAUUAGGAAUUAGAAUUGUGGGUGGUAAAGAAAUCCCUGGAUAUAGCGGAGAAAUUGGAGCCUAUAUUGCCAAGAUUCUUCCUGGGGGAAGUGCCGAACAGACAGGGAAACUUGUGGAAGGCAUGCAAGUAUUGGAGUGGAAUGGAAUUCCUCUAACUUCUAAAACAUAUGAAGAAGUGCAGAGUAUCAUUAGUCAGCAAAAUGGGGAAGCAGAAAUAUGUGUAAGACUGGACCUCAAUAUGCUGUCAGAUUCUGAAAAUCCCCAGCACCUAGAACUCCGUGAACCACCAAAAGCUGUGGAUAAAGCGAAAUCCCCAGGGGUUGAUCCCAAGCAGUUGGCAGCAGAGCUCCAGAAGGUCUCACUACAGCAGUCACCACUGGUUCUGUCAUCUGUUGUUGAAAAGGGAUCUCACGUUCAUUCAGGUCCUACAUCAGCAGGAUCCAGUUCCGUUCCCAGUCCUGGGCAGCCAGGGUCACCCUCAGUGAGCAAAAAGAAACACAGCAGCAGCAAGCCUACUGAUGCAGCAAAGGUUGUCUCUCAUCCAAUUACGGGGGAAAUUCAGCUUCAAAUCAACUAUGAUCUUGGAAAUCUCAUAAUACAUAUCCUCCAAGCAAGAAACCUAGUCCCUCGAGACAACAAUGGUUAUUCAGACCCCUUUGUUAAAGUGUACCUUCUUCCAGGGCGAGGUCAAGUCAUGGUUGUCCAGAAUGCAAGUGCUGAGUACAAGAGAAGGACUAAAUACGUUCAGAAAAGUCUUAAUCCUGAGUGGAAUCAAACAGUGAUUUAUAAAAGUAUCUCCAUGGAACAGCUCAAGAAGAAAACACUGGAGGUGACAGUCUGGGAUUAUGAUAGAUUUUCUUCCAAUGACUUUCUUGGUGAGGUACUGAUUGAUUUAUCUAGCACAUCUCACCUUGAUAACACGCCUAGGUGGUAUCCACUCAAAGAACAGACUGAAAGCAUUGAUCAUGGCAAGUCCCAUUCCAGUCAGAGCAGCCAGCAGUCCCCAAAGCCAUCUGUCAUCAAAAGCAGAAGCCAUGGUAUCUUCCCUGACCCAUCCAAGGACAUGCAGGUUCCCACCAUUGAGAAAUCCCAUAGUAGUCCCGGUAGCUCGAAAUCCUCAUCCGAAGGCCAUCUCCGCUCUCAUGGACCAUCUCGCAGUCAAAGCAAAACCAGCGUCACUCAGACCCACCUGGAAGAUGCGGGGGCGGCUAUAGCCGCUGCUGAAGCCGCUGUGCAACAACUCCGCCUUCAACCAACCAAGCCCACCAAUCACCGGCCUGCAGAAAGCUCCGUGUCCACUGGCUCCUCGGGCAGCAGCUUUGGCAGUGGGUAUAGCGUGGACAGUGAAGGAAGCAGCAGCGCUGCAGGGGAGACUAAUCUAUUUCCUAUUCCAAGGAUAGGAAAGAUGGGACAGAAUGGGCAAGAGCCUAUAAAACAGACAGGAGUAGGCAUAGGACUAGCAGACACUGAAGUUAAAACUCAGGUAAUGGGAGAAAUCAAGAUUGCAUUGAAGAAAGAAAUGAAGACAGAUGGGGAACAACUAAUAGUUGAAAUCCUACAGUGUAGAAAUAUUACCUACAAAUUUAAAUCUCCUGAUCACUUACCAGAUUUAUAUGUGAAACUAUAUGUGAUGAACAUAUCUACCCAAAAAAAGGUGAUCAAGAAAAAAACAAGAGUAUGUAGACAUGAUCGAGAGCCUUCAUUCAAUGAAACUUUUAGAUUCAGCCUAAGUCCUGCUGGACAUUCUCUUCAGAUUUUACUUUUUUCCAAUGGAGGGAAGUUUAUGAAAAAGACCUUGAUUGGCGAAGCCUGUAUCUGGCUAGACAAAGUGGAUCUCAGAAAAAGAAUAGUCAACUGGCACAAACUUUUGGUCAGUCCUACUCAAACCCACUGA